GACGAACGCUGGCGGCGUGCUUAACACAUGCAAGUCGAGCGGAAAGGCCCUUCGGGGUACUCGAGCGGCGAACGGGUGAGUAACACGUGAGUAAUCUGCCCUGCACUCUGGGAUAGCCUUGGGAAACUGAGAUUAAUACCGGAUAUGUUCACUUACCGCAUGGGAGGGUGGUGGAGAGUUUUUCGGUGCAGGAUGUGCUCGCGGCCUAUCAGCUUGUUGGUGGGGUAAUGGCCUACCAAGGCUUCGACGGGUAGCCGGCCUGAGAGGGUGACCGGCCACACUGGGACUGAGACACGGCCCAGACUCCUACGGGAGGCAGCAGUGGGGAAUAUUGGACAAUGGGCGGAAGCCUGAUCCAGCAACGCCGCGUGAGGGAUGACGGCCUUCGGGUUGUAAACCUCUUUCAGCACAGACGAAGCGCAAGUGACGGUAUGUGCAGAAGAAGGACCGGCCAACUACGUGCCAGCAGCCGCCGUAA
rnacentral:rRNA from 1 species